UGUAUGUUGGAAUAAGCAAAAUUCUUUGUCAUACGUAUUUCAUUAAUUAGUCAUGAAAGUCUUAUUUAAGGUGUGCUGCUAAUAUAACAAGGUGGUUAAGAAUUGGCGGGUUAAACAAGGUUUAGCCUUGAAAACUAGCUCUGAAGUCCAUUAGCCUGUCUACUUUGGGUGGAAUGACCUUUCGAUCCGCUAACCUGUGAAACACAACAAACCAUGAAGGUAGACAGGAGGAUUAUAUAGCACCUCUACAGGCUCUGUGAUAAUGUUUCAUGUGUGAUGAAUCCAGUUUCCUGGAGAUAGAAGAGGGCAAACUGGCCUUAAGUAUAAAGUGGGGACACAAUUGCCAAAUGUAGGGCUUUUCUUUGCCAUUGCCCACACGAGACAUAGAAUAGAGGCUUUUAAGUAAGUUCUCCCACCUCGUUCUGGUUCAGCUGAAGACCCAUCUUCCAAAUUCCCCACACCCCACCUCAAUAUGCUACAAAGGGUUCAUCUAAAUAGCCCACCUAAUCUUGUCCCUUCCCCCUAACCUCUCUGAUACUGUGUCACAAAUGUUCACCGUGGUCUCCUAGCAGCGGCCAGACCCCCGCCUCCACAGACGGGUAACCGUCUGCACCUUGAUUGGCUGUCGUCCUAGGCAACCAAGAACGCAGUGCACACGUCGGGUCCCCAGAGGGUAUUUAAGGGCUGCUGCUGCCCGUGACGCCUCAGUCCGGCCAAGACGGCGACCUUGGAGCACCUGGGUUAAGAGGGAGCAGCCACGUGAAUGCACACCGCCUGCAUUCCCAGUCCCCAGCCCGCGCCUCUGCAGAGCCCCAGUCCCAUCCAGCCCACUUGGGCAAGACAACCCGGGUGCGAAGGACAAGCGAUUAGGACAGAAGA
rnacentral:lncRNA from 1 species